GAUGAACGCUGACAGAGGCUUAAACAUGCAAGUCGACUUGAACUUCGGUUUGGGUGGCGGGACGGGUGAGUAACGCGUAAAGAACUUGCCUCACAGAUAGGGACAACAUUUGGAAACGAAAUGCUAAUACCUGAUAUUAUGAUUAUAUGGCAUCGUAUAAUUAUGAAAAGCUAUAUGCGCUGUGAGAGAGCUUUGCGUCCCAUUAGCUAGUGGGAGAGGUAACGGCUCACCAAGGGCGAUGAUGGGUAGCCGGCCUGAGAGGGUGAUCGGCCCACAAGGGGACUGAGACACGGCCCUUACUCCUACGGGGAGGCAGCAGUGGGGAAUAUUGGACAAUGGACCAAGAGUCUGAUCCAGCAAUUCUGUGUGCACGAUGAAGUUUUUCGGAAUGUAAAGUGCUUUCAGUUGGGAAGAAAAAAAUGACGGUACCAACAGAAGAAGUGACGGCUAAAUACGUGCCAGCAGCCGCGGUAAUACGUAUGUCACAAGCGUUAUCCGGAUUUAUUGGGCGUAAAGCGCGUCUAGGUGGUUAUGUAAGUCUGAUGUGAAAAUGCAGGGCUCAACUCUGUAUUGCGUUGGAAACUGUGUAACUAGAGUACUGGAGAGGUAAGCGGAACUACAAGUGUAGAGGUGAAAUUCGUAGAUAUUCGUAGGAAUGCCGAUGGGGAAGCCAGCUUACUGGACAGAUACUGACGCUGAAGCGCGAAAGCGUGGGUAGCAAACAGG
rnacentral:rRNA from 1 species